UCAUGGAGGGCACAUUGAGAUGCACUUCUAUCAGCCUGGCCCCUUAGUAGGUUCAAAAUCCUGCUCUCACAGAAGCCCUUCCACCAGCUCUAAUCAAGUGAUAAACCUUUCUGGAUCACGAAGAAAAAAAGAGAUGAUCAUGCAUGAACUCCCUCAACUUCUCUCCUACAUCCCCAGGCCCUCAGAGUAUGCUGCAGGAGUAGACUCUGCGGGCUAGGAUCCCCAGUUGCUCCCCAGCUCCACAAGCUUCCGAGGGACUUUGCUGGCUUGGAGCCACACCCAGCUCCUCCUCAAUGUGGUCAUCAUCUUUCCAAAAUUGAGCCUACCUACCACAGAGGGACCAGCAUUCACCAGGUCGGCUCCAGUCAAAGGCGCAGGGUGACUAGAGCUGUUACUGACCUCCACCGCAGCAAUACCUGUGAUGUGUCCAAUGGUCCCCACGCUGCGGACACCAAGUCAAACAUGCGGAUCCUGUCAUCUGAUGGCCAGGACAGCUUAAUGAAGUUCCCAGUGGAGCCGCACCAAGAAGAGGAAGAGUGGGCAGUCCUCCGGAAUGAGCGAAGGAGCAUUCUAAAGUGUUCAGGUGCCGCACAAGUUGCCCAACCCCGUAAAUCUGAGUGCGGACUCCUGGCGCCCCUCAUUAAAGGCAAGCACCCCCACCCCACUUUUUGAACAUGCAGCCUGAAUAGGAAGGCAGAGAAUCCCAGCGGGCCACCUCAGGGCGGGGGCCGGGGG